AGGACUAACGCUGGCGGCGUGCCUAACACAUGCAAGUCGAACGAGAGUAGCAAUACUCUAGUGGCAGACGGGUGAGUAACACGUGGUCAACCUACCUCUAUGUGGGGGAUAACUAGCCGAAAGGUUAGCUAAUACCGCAUACGAUCGUCGAGCGGCAUCGCUUGACGAUGAAAGGAGCAAUCCGCAGAGAGACGGGACCGCGUCCCAUUAGCUAGUUGGUGGGGUAAAGGCCUACCAAGGCGACGAUGGGUAGCUGGCUUGAGAGAGCGACCAGCCACACUGGGACUGAGACACGGCCCAGACUCCUACGGGAGGCAGCAGUGAGGAAUUUUCCGCAAUGGGCGAAAGCCUGACGGAGCGACGCCGCGUGUGGGAAGAAGGCCUUCGGGUCGUAAACCACUGUCGAAGGGGAAGAUAUUGACGGUACCCUUGGAGGAAGCCCCGGCUAACUACGUGCCAGCAGCCGC
rnacentral:rRNA from 1 species